UACGUAUGGUGCAAGCGUUAUCCGGAUUUACUGGGUGUAAAGGGAGCGCAGGCGGUGCGGCAAGUCUGGUGUGAAAGCCCGGGGCUCAACCCCGGUACUGCAUUGGAAACUGUCGUACUAGAGUGUCGGAGGGGUAAGUGGAAUUCCUAGUGUAGCGGUGAAAUGCGUAGAUAUUAGGAGGAACACCAGUGGCGAAGGCGGCUUACUGGACGAUAACUGACGCUGAGGCUCGAAAGCGUGGGGAGCAAACAGG
rnacentral:rRNA from 1 species